rnacentral:rRNA from 1 species
AAUCAAUGAUGCUCAUGCCAUUAUAUAAUUCCGAAAGGUUAACGCACUGUUUUCAUAUAAAUCUAUCAGCACUUUAUCAAAUUUAUGAAAUUCAUUUUAUGUUAAAAUGCAAGCAUUUUAAUUUAAAUAAACAAUUAUCCACAAUUUUUUGAUAAAUUAUUUGAUACUAAUAAAUUACAAUGUCCUUAUAUGGAAAAAUG